ACGAACGCUGGCGGCGUGCUUAACCCAUGCAAGUCGAACGGAAAGGCCCUGCUUUUGUGGGGUGCUCGAGUGGCGAACGGGUGAGUAACACGUGAGUAACCUGCCCUUGACUUUGGGAUAACUUCAGGAAACUGGGGCUAAUACCGGAUAGGAGCUCCUGCUGCAUGGUGGGGGUUGGAAAGUUUCGGCGGUUGGGGAUGGACUCGCGGCUUAUCAGCUUGUUGGUGGGGUAGUGGCUUACCAAGGCUUUGACGGGUAGCCGGCCUGAGAGGGUGACCGGCCACAUUGGGACUGAGAUACGGCCCAGACUCCUACGAGAGGCAGCAGUGGGGAAUAUUGCACAAUGGGCGGAAGCCUGAUGCAGCAACGCCGCGUGCGGGAUGACGGCCUUCGGGUUGUAAACCGCUUUCGCCUGUGACGAAGCGUGAGUGACGGUAAUGGGUAAAGAAGCACCGGCUAACUACGUG
rnacentral:rRNA from 1 species